UACGUAGGGGGCUAGCGUUGUCCGGAAUCAUUGGGUACGUAAGCGCGCGUAGGCGGCCGGUAAGUCCGCUGGUAAAAGUCAAAGGCUCAACCUUUGAAUGUCAGUGGAGUACUGCCGGGCUAGUAGUCCGGGAAGAGGCGAGUGGAACUCCUGGUGUAAGCGGUGGAAUGCGCAGAUAUCAGGAAGAACACCGACGGCGAAGGCAGCUCGCUGGGACGGUACUGACGCUGGAGGCGACGAAAGCGUGGGGAGCGAACAGG
rnacentral:rRNA from 1 species